rnacentral:rRNA from 1 species
CCUACGGGCGGCAGCAGUGAGGAAUAUUGGUCAAUGGACGCAAGUCUGAACCAGCCAUGCCGCGUGCAGGAAGACGGCUCUAUGAGUUGUAAACUGCUUUUGUACGAGGGUAAACGCAGAUACGCGUAUCUGUCUGCACGUCUCGUACGAAUAAGGAUCGGCUAACUCCGUGCCAGCAGCCGCGGUAAUACGGAGGAUUCAAGCGUUAUCCGGGUUUAUUGGGUUUAAAGGGUGCGUAGGCGGUCGGAUAAGUUAGAGGUGAAAUCCCGAGGCUCAACUUCGGAAUUGCCUCUGAUACUGUUCGGCUAGAGAGUAGUUGCGGUAGGCGGAAUGUAUGGUGUAGCGGUGAAAUGCUUAGAGAUCAUACAGAACACCGAUGGCGAAGGCAGCUUACCAAGCUACUUCUGACGUUGAGGCACGAAAGCGUGGGGAGCAAACAGGAUUAGAUACCCGAGUAGUC